AUUGAACGCUGGCGGCAUGCUUUACACAUGCAAGUCGGACGGCAGCACAGAGACGCUUGCUUCUUGGGUGGCGAGUGGCGAACGGGUGAGUAAUAUAUCGGAACGUACCGAGUAAUGGGGGAUAACUAAUCGAAAGAUUAGCUAAUACCGCAUUUUCUCUGAGGAGGAAAGCAGGGGACCUUCGGGCCUUUCGUUAUUCGAGCGGCCGAUAUCUGAUUAGCUAGUUGGUGGGGUAAAGGCCUACCAAGGCGACGAUCAGUAGCGGGUCUGAGAGGAUGAUCCGCCACACUGGGACUGAGACACGGCCCAGACUCCUACGGGAGGCAGCAGUAGGGAAUUUUGGACAAUGGGCGCAAGCCUGAUCCAGCCAUGCCGCGUGUCUGAAGAAGGCCUUCGGGUUGUAAAGGACUUUUGUCAGGGAAGAAAAGGCUGUUGCUAAUAUCGACAGCUGAUGACGGUACCUGAAGAAUAAGCACCGGCUAACUACGUG
rnacentral:rRNA from 1 species